rnacentral:rRNA from 1 species
UACGUAGGGGGCAAGCGUUGUCCGGAAUCAUUGGGCGUAAAGCGCGUGUAGGCGGCCCGGUAAGUCCGCUGUGAAAGUCGGGGGCUCAACCCUCGGAUGCCGGUGGAUACUGUCGGGCUAGAGUGCGGAAGAGGCGAGUGGAAUUCCUGGUGUAGAGGUGAAAUUCGUAGAUAUUAGGAAGAACACCAGUGGCGAAGGCGGCUCACUGGCCCGGUACUGACGCUGAGGCGCGAAAGCGUGGGGAGCAAACAGG